UACGGAGGGUGCAAGCGUUAUCCGGAUUCACUGGGUUUAAAGGGUGCGUAGGUGGGAAUGUAAGUCAGUGGUGAAAUCUCCGUGCUUAACACGGAAACUGCCAUUGAUACUAUGUUUCUUGAAUUUUCCGGAGUCAGCGGAAUAUGUCAUGUAGCGGUGAAAUGCUUAGAUAUGACAUAGAACACCAAUUGCGAAGGCAGCUGACUACAGGGACAUUGACACUGAGGCACGAAAGCGUGGGGAUCAAACAGG
rnacentral:rRNA from 1 species